UAGUAAAAUCUCGUUAAAUCACGUGCACUUUCACCAUCUACUGAUCUAGUGAUCAUUGAGAAACGUAAUCACGAAAACGUCAUUUAUUUUCUGUUUAGAGUUGUUUAUAAAUCUGUUGUGUGCAUGUCUACCUUGUAGUCAGUUUAUGGGCCAAACUUCUUCUCAAACGAUGUCACAGCCAAUAGUUGUUGCUGCUCGGGCACAGCAUACAGCAUCGUUGAUCUUCUUGCAUGGCUUGGGAGACACGGGGCAUGGCUGGUCGGAAGGUUUGCGCAAUCUCGAGCUGCAACAUGUGCGAUGUGUUUGUCCUACAGCGCCACAUAAACCUGUUACUCUAAAUGGAGGGAUGCACAUGCCGUCUUGGUUUGACAUCAAAGGGUUGUCACCCGAUGCCCCUGAAGAUGAAAAUGGUGUAAAAGAGGCAUCCAAUAUUUUGAAGUUACUGAUAGAGGAAGAAGAACAUCUUGGUAUUCCCACAAACCGAGUGAUCAUUGGCGGAUUCUCCCAGGGUGGAGCAGUGGCCCUUCACACAGCCUUUACCUACCCAAAACCUCUCGGCGGAGUCGUGGCCCUUAGCUCAUGGAUGCCUCUACACAAGCAGCUGAUUUCAUCGAAUAAAUACAACACGAAUAUCCCUAUGCUGCAGUGUCACGGAACAAUGGAUCCACUCGUGUCCUACAAGUGGGGUGAGAAGACCAAGCAGCUGAUCACAUCGUUCAACCCAAAUCUUACUUUUAAAAGUUUCCCAAUGGGACACACCACCUGUGAGCAGGAAAUGGAAUGUGUGAAAGAAUUUUUAUCCAAAUUUUGACCAACUGGAAAAAGUAGAUUUUAACAAGAGUUGCACCUGAAGAAUGCAAUUAAGUGUUGUACUGUCAGUGACUGUUACAUUGGACUAUGCACAACAAUGGCAGACACUGGCUUUUUAUGUUCACUUGCUCCAUGCAGGUGGACAACAUCUUUUAGUUACGUCACAUGCUUUAUGAUAUAGAGAUACAGGGAGAGAAUAUAUCUUAAACAAAAUGAAUGUGUGUUAGUCAUGAACAGUGUUUUCUUAGAAGAAACAUCCAUGAGGAAUUUGUUAAUAUGACGUGUUUAUCAUUGCUCGGUAUGGCGAAGAGUUGGAACUAGUGGUGUUGUACUCUUGAACACAAAAACAAUGACGGGACAAACGAUCUUAUGUUGACACCUGUACUGUAUUGUACACAUUGUUUAAGUGCACUUUAUAAAAACAUUGGUCAAUAUGUAUAUAAAUCGAAAUUACAAAACCGUAUUCUGUGAUCAAAAUCAUAUCUCUGCACAAGGCAGUCAAAAGAAUGUCUUGGGCAAAGUUGUGAUUACUUCCAUGAUACACUAUCAGGUGCUAGUCCUUAGGAGGACUGCCACUCCCUAGCAAAUCCAUAACAUGUUUAUUCCCUCCUACACUGCCUGUAGGACUGCCACUCCCCUAGCAAAUCCAUAACGUUUCAUCCCUCCUACACUGCCUGUAGGACCGCCACUCCCCUAGCAGAUCCAUAACAUGUUUCAUCCUUCCUACACUGCCUGUAGGACCGCCACUCCUCUAGCAGAUCCAUAACAUGUUUCAUCCUUCCUACACUGCCUGUAGGACCGCCACUCUAGCAGAUCCAUAACAUGUUUCAUCCCUCCUACACUGCCUGUAGGACUGUCACUCUCAAGACUAGUUUAGAAACCCCAAACUAGCACAGGCUAGACCUCAAUGGAACACAUACAGCUGUGAGUGUGAUGGCAUGCACUACUGUCCCAUAGUUCAGUCUAAUAUCAUCUAUGUACUAAGUUUGAAAUCAUGUUUUCUGCUUCAAUCAACCAGUAGAAAGGUGCCAGAACGCUCUGCUAGGAAACAUGUUUUCUCGUUCUAUCAGCCAGUAGAAAGGUGCCAGAAUGCUCUGCUAGGAAACAUGUUUUCUCGUUCUAUCAGCCAGUAGAAAGGUGCCAGAACGCUCUGCUAGGAUACAUGUUUUCUCGUUCUAUCAGCCAGUAGAAAGGUGCCAGAACGCUGUGCUAGGAAACAUGUUUUCUCGUUCUAUCAGCCAGUAGAAAGGUGCCAGAACGCUGUGCUAGGAAACCAUCUGGCACACAUCCCUAGAUGGUAAUGCACCUUUUUCAUUGGUUAAUUGGUCUUAUUAUUUACGACGUUGCUACCUGUUGAUUAUGUCAUUCUGUAAGCAAGGUAGUACAUGUAUGUGAUGUCACGUAAUAUGUAACGCUGCAUACAUUCUGUAAGCAAGGUAGUAUGUGAUGUCACGUAAUAUGUAACACUGCAUACAUUCUGUAAGCAAGGUAGUAUGUGAUGUCACGUAAUAUGUAACACUGCAUACAUUCUGUAAGCAAGGUAGUACAUGUAUGUGAUGUCACGUAAUAUGUAACACUGCAUACAUUCUGUAAGCAAGGUAGUAUGUGAUGUCACGUAAUAUGUAACACUGCAUACAUUCUGUAAGCAAGGUAGUACAUGUAUGUGAUGUCACAUAAUAUGUAACACUGCAUACAUUCUGUAAGCAAGGUAGUAUGUGAUGUCACGUAAUAUGUAACACUGCAUACAUUCUGUAAGCAAGGUAGUAUGUGAUGUCACGUAAUAUGUAACACUGCAUACAUUCUGUAAGCAAGGUAGUACAUGUAUGUGAUGUCACGUAAUAUGUAACACUGCAUACAUUCUGUAAGCAAGGUAGUAUGUGAUGUCACGUAAUAUGUAACACUGCAUACAUUCUGUAACACUGCAUACAUUCCUUCUCGUAACAUAAUACAUACAUGAGCUGAACAAAAGACUGACCACAAAAAUUAUGCUAAUAUAAGACUAACCACAAUAAUUAUGCUCAUAUAAUCAGACUGACAUCACAAUAAUUAUGAUGUAUUCUAAGACUGACAUCACAAUAAUUAUGAUAUAUUAUGACUGAUCACAAUAAUGAUUGAUUACUUUUUUAGACUCGUGUCAGAAAAACUGUCGACUUGAACCAAAAACUAAUGUUCUAAAUUUGUUUAAUUGU
rnacentral:misc_RNA from 1 species